CUCCUUUGACGUUAGCGGCGGACGGGUGAGUAACACGUGGGUAACCUACCUAUAAGACUGGGAUAACUUCGGGAAACCGGAGCUAAUACCGGAUAAUAUUUCGAACCGCAUGGUUCGAUAGUGAAAGGUGGUUUUGCUAUCACUUAUAGAUGGACCCGCGCCGUAUUAGCUAGUUGGUAAGGUAACGGCUUACCAAGGCGACGAUACGUAGCCGACCUGAGAGGGUGAUCGACCACACUGGAACUGAGACACGGUCAAGACUCCUACGGGAGGCAGCAGUC
rnacentral:rRNA from 1 species